rnacentral:rRNA from 1 species
UACGGAGGGAGCUAGCGUUGUUCGGAAUUACUGGGCGUAAAGCGCACGUAGGCGGCUAUUCAAGUCAGAGGUGAAAGCCCGGGGCUCAACCCCGGAACUGCCUUUGAAACUAGGUAGCUAGAAUCUUGGAGAGGUCAGUGGAAUUCCGAGUGUAGAGGUGAAAUUCGUAGAUAUUCGGAAGAACACCAGUGGCGAAGGCGACUGACUGGACAAGUAUUGACGCUGAGGUGCGAAAGCGUGGGGGGCAAACAGG